UUAUUAUUAAAAGUUUUAACAUUUAAAUUUAUUGAAUAAAUAAUACUUCAGAUAUAUAAAUAGUUCAAAUUUAUUAAUUACUCAAUAAAUUUUAUGAGAGGAAUAAUAAUAAAUCCUGCAGUGAAAAUGGAAAUUAAAUGCGAGAGUCGUUGGGUUAAUUUUCAAUUCAACGUUGCUCCUUGUUUGCUUUUGAUAUUUUUGUGUUGGCUUUGCGGUCUACUCCACACGUGUAAGUCAAUACUGCAUUUGCGAUCUACUCCACACGUGUAAGUCAAUACUGCAUUUUUUAACAUUGAAUCAACUCUCCAUCGCGUCCAUGUUCACUCUCACGCCAUGUGCGGAUGCCGCAUUUUUGCCUCUCAAAUUUAAUAUUUUGGAACUGACCCAUGUUUGAAUGAGUCAUGGGGACCUAAAAUUAAAGUACUCACCAUCAUUAUAUUAGAGUAUUUAAUUGGUACCUACCUACCCUAAACUCCUAUACUUUAUUUCAACGGACAAUUUUACUCUUUAAAUAAAAAAAUAAAUCAAUUACUUUAAAAAAAAAUUAUUUCAUAUUUAUUUAUAUAUUUCGGUAUGAAGAAGUAUAUGUGAAGAAAGAGAUACUUGUAAAUUAUUUCAUUAAUUUAUUGGAUGAGAGAUCGACAUUUUAACCAAACGAUAUUCUAUGUACAAUUGAUAUGUAAAUUUGACUAGAGUUUUUUUUUUUACUUUUGAGACUGAGUACUAAAUGUUUUACUUUAGGAUAUGCAGCCAUCAAAACCGUUUCAAAUAAAGUUGUUAAAAAUGAGAAAUCGUAUUUCGACAAUUAAUAUAGUUUUAUAUCAUUUGUCUUUGAUACUUUUGAUUUUCUAACAACAAAUGUCAUUGAUCUUUUAUAGAGAGUCCAAAAACUCAUCAUAUAGACUUUGUUUGGUAAGCCAUAAUUUCGAGGUUAUAGCUUAUAAAUUCAUAUGACAAUUUAGAUCUGUUUGAUAACCGUCUUUUCAUCAUAAAUUUGUAGCUUAUGUUACUACAUUAUAGCUUAUUUUCCAUAGGCUAUUUCAAAUGACUCAUAACUUAUAGCUUAUCAUCUUUUCUUUCAUUUUUAUCCUUAUUAUUCUAACAAAAAUCCUCUUUUAUUCUUUAUAAUUUAUUUUAAUUUAAAAUAAAAUAAAUAUGUAUCAAAUAUCUUUUAUGUCAUUUUAUAUUUAUUAAUUAGUUGAACUGUUAAUUUUAUCAAACAGUUCAAUUAACUUCUUAGCUAUCAAUCAUCAAUCAUUAGCUAUAAGUUAUAAGCUAUCAGUCAUCAGUCAUAAGCCAUCAGUCAUUACCCAUCAGCCAUAAGUUAGCUUAUCAACCAACCUCUAUUUUUACCAAACAAAGUCAUAAUAACAAUGUUGUGUCUCCUAAUUCAAUUAAUGUAAUUUUUAAAAUGCUUAAAUACAUUUUUGUCCCCUCUAUUUAUGUGAUUGUAACCUUUUGUCUCAUCCAUUCCAAAACUCAACUCUUUGGUCCUUAUAAUUCACUUUUCUUUGGAUUUAUUUGCCCCCCUUAAGUUUUGCACAUGUGACCUUUAUUUAUGACGUGGCAGUCCAACACUAGCGCCAUGUCAGUUUUUUUAAUUGAAAUCUUUUACUUUUUAGUUACAAACUAUUUAUUUAUUAUAAAAUUAAUAAAUAAAUAUUAAAAUUGUUUUUUUAAGUGAUAUUUGAAAUAAAUGAAUACUCAUUUUGUUGAGAAACAAGUGUGAUUUUUAAGUCCCACAUUGUUUAGAAAAGUGGAGGUUGAACACUUUAUAAGUGAGAGGACUCAUACAUUUAUCACCUUAAGGUUCAGGGUGAAUAUAUGGUGUCUCUCUCACUUGUUUGGGUGAGUAUUUGACCUUUAGGUGAUUGUUUGACUCAAUGUGAAUGUUCCCCCUCAUGAUAGCCUAUCAGUGGUAUCAGAGUCCGGUUCGAGUAAUUUGCUUAUAAAAGUGGGGGUUUCAACUCGUUUGUUUGUUGUGAAAAUGACGAAAGGAAGUUCUCAAUGGGAUAUCAAUGAACAAGUCAAGUACUGUGUAAGGGUUACAACCUACACAGUGACGUGAAGCUCUAAUUCCUUCCAAUUUGGAGACGGAGGAACAGUGAGUGAUCAAAUAUUUGUAAAGGUUUCCUUCCGUUGCUAAAGAUGACCAUGGAGAAAAAGAUGCUAAGAAAAAAAGUAUUAGUACGUUAAGUGUUUGGAAUUAUUUUACAAAGAUUAUUAUAGUUGAUGGGAGAGAAAAAUGUAAAUGUAAUGGUUGUGAUGUCAUAGUUCAAGAUGGUUUGAAGGCAGCAGAGGAUGCUUUGUAAAAAAUUUGAGAAAGUGUUAAAUAUGUGAAGGCUUCGGGAGGGGAGAUCCAAGGGGUUUAAAAAAUGUAUUGAAGAAGUGCAUUUAAAUAAUGUACAAUGUGGAUAUUUAAUGUUGCAUGUGUGUACUAGAUGGAAUGCCACAUAUAUGAUGCUUGGAAGUGUUAUUAGGUAUCGACAUGUAUUCAUUAGCUUGAGUUAUAAUGAUAAAAAUUACAAGAUUUGUCUAAGCAUUGAAGAGUGGGAUAUAGCAGAGAACAUUUGUAAUUGCUUGGCUCCAUUUUAUAAUAUUACUAACUUAUUUUUUGGAUCA